CGAUUUAUUUAUUUGUUUGUCUACUGCUUACGUGUGUUGGAACCGCUCUCUCUCUGUGGUCUACACAUAAGUUAAUUCUUGGAACAAAAGCAAAAGGCACCUCGGAGCUCUGUAUCCAGCAUCUAUGUGCAAGUCAAGUGGGAGAGCCUCGUUAUCCAAUCCAAUCAUCACCCGGGUUAUAAAGAAAACAAAAAAAAGUGGUGAGACCUUGAAUCACACAACAUACAAAGAGUCGGCAACAGAAGAAGAAGAAUAAGCAAAAACACAAGAAAACGAAAGCACAAUAUAUGAAUAUGACUGAAACGCAUUAAGAUGAUGCAUUCAGAGAUUGACUCGUCCUUUGAUGAUGUCCAGGCUCAUCUCGCUAGGGUCUGUUGCUUGCAGUUCAACCUGAAUCCCAUCCAGUUCCCUCUUGAAUCUGUCCUUUGAGCUUGCGUACAACAUCUUACUCCUCACUCUUGAUGUAUCUGGUGACCUGAAGCAUGAAGAUAUCUCAGAUUGGAUAUAAGAAAAAGUCCACUUUAUAAUCCAUGA